CACGUAGGGCGCAAGCGUUGUCCGGAAUUAUUGGGCGUAAAGAGCUCGUAGGCGGUCUGUUGAGUCUGCUGUGAAAACCCGGGGCUUAACCCCUGGCUUGCAGUGGAUACGGACAGACUAGAGGUAGGUAGGGGAGAAUGGAAUUCCCGGUGUAGCGGUGAAAUGCGCAGAUAUCGGGAGGAACACCGGUGGCGAAGGCGGCACUCUGGGCCGGUACUGACGCUGAGGAGCGAAAGCGUGGGUAGCAAACAGG
rnacentral:rRNA from 1 species